AUUGUGUUGAGAUGAGACCUUGGGUAGAGAGACAAUAGAAGAGGAAUACUGAAGAUCAGUGGAUGAUUUAGAAAUGACUGCUUUAGGAAGAAUGAUGAGAAGAAAUGCAUCUUGAGCAAAAGCUUGCAUUCUACCAACUUUGACCAAAAGCUAUAAAGCUG
rnacentral:lncRNA from 1 species